GAUCCUGGCUCAGAACGAACGCUGGCGGCGCGUCUUAAGCAUGCAAGUCGAACGGCAAGAGGUAGCAAUACCUCCUAGAGUGGCGGACUGGUGAGUAACACGUGGGUGACAUACCCUUCAGAUGGGGAUAGCUAUAGAAAUAGUAGAUAAUACCGAAUACGAGCACAGGGGUUAGAGAUCUGUGAGGAAAGGAGCUAAGGCUCCGCUGAAGGAAUGGCCUGCGGCCCAUUAGCUAGUUGGUGAGGUAAGAGCCCACCAAGGCGAUGAUGGGUAUCCGGCCUUAGAGGGUGAACGGACACAUUGGGACUGAGAUACGGCCCAGACUCCUACGGGAGGCAGCAGCUAAGAAUAUUCCGCAAUGGACGAAAGUCUGACGGAGCGACGCCGCGUGGAUGAAGAAGGCCGGAAGGUUGUAAAAUCCUUUUGAAACUGAAGAAUAAGCGUUGUAGGGAAUGACAGCGUGGUGACAGUAGGUUUGAAUAAGCAACGGCUAAUUACGUGCCAGCAGCGGC
rnacentral:rRNA from 1 species